rnacentral:sRNA from 1 species
CCCUGCAGCAGCAGCAGCGGCGUGGUCAGAGCGAGCUUCGGAGAAGCAGUGGUGGGUUCCAUGUGAUGGUGGAGUAGGAGGCAGGUCUCCGCGGCUCAUCUGUGUUGCUCUAAAUGACACUGUUUCAUUAUUUUGAUGGCUGGAGAAUAUUUCCUAGUGUAUGUAGAUGAGAGUUUCUUGAUCUCUUUAUCUGUGGAUGAACAGCUACUUUGAAACAUAUGAUACAUUUGUGUUAAGGCUAGUCACGCUGCUGUGGAAUAGAAGGCCAGAAUUGAUCAGUCUCAUCUGAGAGUAACUUUGUACCCAUCACUGAUUCCUUCUGAGACUGCCUCCACUUCCCCAGCAGUCUCUGGUUUCUUCAUGUGGCUGCAGAUGGCAGGAUUUCCCAAAGGUUUAUGGCUGAAACAUAUUCCGUGGUGUAUCUGUACAGCAGUUUCCUCAUCCCUGCAGCUGUGUUUGAACAGGUUCAACAGUAUGGCUCCAAAUGAUGAAAUUUCCUUCUGAUUUUCUGGCUGAAGACUAUUCUUUUUGUGUAUGUCCACCACAGUUACUUUAUCCCUUCAUCUGUGGAUGGGCAGUCUCACUGUAUUGCCCAGGCUGGAGUGCAGUGGCAUGAUCUCAGCUCACUGCAAGCUCUGCUUCCUGGGUUCACGCCAUUCUCCUGCCUCAGCCUCCUGAGUAGCUGGGAUUACAGGCACCCGCCACCACGCCCAG